rfam:Camelus ferus isolate Naran unplaced genomic scaffold scaffold101859, whole genome shotgun sequence.
GAGGGUACAGCUCAGUGGUAGAGUGCAUGCUUAGCAUGCACAAGGUCCUGGGUUCAAUCCCCAGUACCUCCA